UUGGUUCAUUAUUUAUAAUUUGCUGAGGAGAGUUUUAAUCCCACCAGCUUAUCAUAAGUUUUGAUUCACUUUUUUGGAUAUAUUUUUGCUCCCGAAGGAGUAAAAAUAUUUGAAAAACAUUUUGGAGCCAAACUAUAAAUAGUUCAACCCAAUUGUAAUCCCAGUUCGCGGUUCUCAAAAGGUUGAAAGCCCUCCCCAAUGAAAGGGAAAACUUUCUCCCAGUUGUUUUUUUUAGGGUGUGGUAAUGAUCCUUCCGCAGGUUCACCUACGGAAA
rnacentral:misc_RNA from 1 species